UACGUAGGGUGCAAGCGUUGUCCGGAAUUAUUGGGCGUAAAGAGCUCGUAGGCGGUCUGUCGCGUCGGCUGUGAAAUCCCGAGGCUCAACCUCGGGUCUGCAGUCGAUACGGGCAAACUAGAGUAUUGCAGGGGAGACUGGAAUUCCUGGUGUAGCGGUGAAAUGCGCAGAUAUCAGGAGGAACACCGGUGGCGAAGGCGGGUCUCUGGGCCGAUACUGACACUGAGGAGCGAAAGCGUGGGGAGCGAACAGG
rnacentral:rRNA from 1 species